ensembl:lncRNA
UAUGGGAUCCUUAUGGGGCACUAUGGGGUUCUAUGGAGGCUUAAAGGGGUCCUAUGGGGCUCUAUGGAGUCCUUAUGGGGUUCUUAUGGGGUCCUAUGGGAUUCUAUGGGGUCCUUAUGGGGCACUAUGCUGUCCCUAUGAGGUUGUAUGGGAACUCAAAGGGGUUCUAUGGGCUCUAUGGGGUCCUUAUAGGUUCUAUGGGGUCCUAUGGGGACCUCUGGGGGCUUUAUGGGGUUCUAUGGGGCUCUAUGGGGUCUUUAUGGGGUCCUAUGGGGUCUUUAUGGGGUCCUAUGGGGGCUUAAAUGAGUCCCAUGGGACUCAUUUGGGGUCCUUAUGGGGUCAUAUGGGUUCCUAUGGGGUCCUUAUGCGGUUCUAUGCGGUCUUAUGGGGUUCUAUGGGGUCUUUAUGGGGUCCUAUGGGGCUCUAUGGAGUCCUUAUGGGGCUCUAUGGGGUCCUAUGGGGUUCUAUGGGGUCCUACGGGACUCUAUGGGGUCCUUAUGGGGUCCUAUGGGGUCCCUAUGGGGUUUUAUGGGGUCCAAUGGGGUCCUAUGGGGUUCUAUGGGGUCUUAUGGGGUUCUAUGGGGUCCUAUGGGGUCUUUAUGGGGUCCUAUGGGGGCUUAAAGGGGAUCUAUGGGGUCCUAUGGGGUCCUUAUGAGGCUCUGUGGGGCUCUAUGGGGUCUUUAUGGGGUCCUAUGGGGUCUUAUGGGGGCUUUAUGGGGUUGUAUGGGGGCUUGAAGGGGCUCUUUGGGGUCUUUAUGGGGUCCUAUGGGGUCUUAUGGGGGCUUUAUGGGGUUGUAUGGGGGCUUGAAGGGGUUGUAUGGGGUCUUUAUGGGGUC